GAGUUACAGAACUCUAAGAAAAGGGUCAUGGAAAAAAAAUCCUUCAUAGAGGUUCUAAUUUACUAGCCACGCCUGACUUCAGUGGCCUAACAUUGCAAGCCUGAGAAAACUAACAUCAG
rnacentral:lncRNA from 1 species